rnacentral:tRNA from 1 species
GUUCGGUUAGUCAAGCGGUCAAGACACUACCCUUUCACGGUGGAAACAUGGGUUCAAAUCCCAUACCGAACA